rnacentral:rRNA from 1 species
AGCUCCAAUAGCGUAUAUUAAAUUUGUUGCAGUUAAAAAGCUCGUAGUUGGAUCUCAGGUGUGAGUCGCCGGUACAGUCUUUGUAUUGUGACCGUGUGUUCUCCGCCUUCAUGAGCUGUUGAUGCUCUAUAGUGGUCUUCACUGACUGUUGUAGAGUGCACGGCACGUUUACUUUGAAAAAAUUAGAGUGCUCAAAGCAGGCCUUUGUGCUUGAAUAGUCUUGCAUGGAAUAAUGGAAGAGGACUUCGGUUUUAUUUUGUUGGUUUUCGGUACCGAAGUAAUGAUUAAAAGAGACAGACGAGGGCAUUUGUAUGGUGGUGUUAGAGGUGAAAUUCUUGGAUCGCCGCCAGACAAACUACUGCGAAAGCAUUUGCCAAGGAUGCCUUCA